rnacentral:lncRNA from 12 species
UUUUGGGUGCUGAUGACGGAUACAUAUGGAAGACAAUGUAGAAAAUUUGUAUCCCUGUACUUCAGUAGGAGGCCACAAAAUUCACUCCCCUUGAAAAGGAAAAUUGAGGAAGGAGCUUAUAGAAAUUGUUCUGAAUAUCUGCAGGAAAGACUCCAUGCAUCAAAUCAGGAGUUGGAAUUUGGUUGGAAGAGAGGAGAGGGUGGCAGUAAAAAGCAAAAGCAAAGCAAAUUUCACUGAUACAGAAUAGUUUUUUUGUGUAAAUCCCACUUCUUGUUGUGGCCAUCACUCAGAGAGAAGAAUGUUGGGUCUUUACUGUACCAUUUACUGUAUCGCCUUUGCUGUGGGAAGUGUCAUUGCAACAAAAGCUCUGAAGGGCUGGAAAGGAAACGUGCAGUCAUUCUGUCCAGUUAUUAAAAUUGCUAUGAAUGCAUAUUAGCUUCAUAGAAAGCAUUUUCUGCUAAAUGCCAAUUUUGCCUUCAGUAGUGAAAGCCACACUGAGUUAUUUGCACAGGAAUACUGCUAUAAGGGAAGGUCUUGAUUUGUUACCUUCAGUAUCACUUAGUGGUUUUAAUCUUCAACUAAGAAAGAAAUCCAUGAAAAUAUA